rnacentral:sRNA from 1 species
GCCAGGUAUGGUGGUGCACACCUGUAAUCCCAGGAACUUGGGAUGCUGAGGCAGGAAGAUCACAAGUUCCAGGUCACUGGGCAACUUAGAGAAACCCUGUCUCAA